CCUACGGGUGGCAGCAGUGAGGAAUAUUGGUCAAUGGACGCGAGCCUGAACCAGCCAAGUAGCGUGAAGGAUGACUGCCCUCCGGGUUGUAAACUUCUUUUAUAAGGGAAUAAAGUGAGGCACGUGUGCCUUUUUGUGUGUGCUUUAUGAAUAAGAAUCGGCUCACUCCGUGCCCGCAGCCGCGGUAUUACGGAGGAUCCGAGCGUUAUCCGGAUUUAUUGGGUUUAAAGGGAGCGUAGAUGGGCUGUUAAGUCAGUUGUGAAAGUUUGCGGCUCAACCGUAAAAUUGCAAUUGAUACUGGCAGUCUUGAGUACAGUCGAGGAAGGCGGAAUUCGUGGUGUAGCGGUGAAAUGCUUAGAUAUCACGAAGAACUCCGAUUGCGAAGGCAGCUUACUAAACUGCCACUGACAUUGAGGCUCGAAAGUGUGGGUAUCAAACAGGAUUAGAUACCCGAGUAGUC
rnacentral:rRNA from 1 species